CCACUUCCGCCCUGAGCCGCCGGGGCGUGUCUGGCCGCGGCGCCUCCCGCGCUCUAUGGUCCCCACCGUUCCCAGGCUCCUCAGCGGCGGCGGCGGCCGGAGCCGGGAGGAGCUCGGCGGCGGCGGCGGCGGCGGGGGCCUGCCGUGCCCUGCCCGCGCCCUUGGCGGCGGCGGCGGCGGCGUCGGUGUCGGUCAUGGAGCUGGAGGUGCCCGAGGAGGCGGAGGGCUCGGCCGUGGCGGGGGCCGGCGCCAUCACCCCGGAGGCCGGCGCGGGGGGACCGGACGCGGCAGGAGGUCUGGCACCGAAGAAAGCAGCCAUCACCGAGGGCCCAUCACUACCAGGGCAGCCUGGCCAAGGAAAGAAGAUCGGUCAUCGGAGCGUCGAUGCUUCUGGAGAAACCACCUACAAAAAGACCACUUCCUCCACAUUGAAGGGGGCCAUCCAGCUGGGGAUCGGGUACACAGUCGGCAACCUGAGCUCCAAGCCCGAGAGAGAUGUCCUGAUGCAGGACUUCUAUGUGGUGGAGAGCAUCUUCUUCCCGAGUGAAGGAAGUAAUCUCACCCCAGCUCACCAUUAUGCUGACUUCAGGUUCAAAACCUAUGCACCAGUGGCUUUUCGGUACUUCCGAGAACUCUUUGGGAUUCGUCCAGAUGAUUAUUUGUACUCAUUAUGUAACGAGCCCCUGAUAGAGCUGUCGAACCCUGGUGCCAGCGGCUCCCUCUUCUAUGUCACCAGCGACGAUGAAUUCAUCAUAAAAACUGUGAUGCACAAAGAAGCUGAAUUCCUCCAGAAGCUCCUGCCAGGCUACUACAUGAACCUGAACCAGAACCCACGGACUCUGCUGCCAAAGUUUUAUGGACUGUACUGUGUGCAAUCGGGGGGCAAAAAUAUCCGCGUGGUCGUGAUGAACAACAUUCUGCCUCGCGUGGUGAAGAUGCACCUGAAGUUCGACCUGAAAGGCUCAACCUACAAACGCCGGGCAUCCAAGAAGGAGAAAGAGAAGUCCAGCCCCACGUACAAAGACCUUGACUUCAUUCAGGACAUGCCCGAGGGCCUGAUGUUGGAUGCAGACACCUUCAGUGCGUUGGUGAAGACGUUGCAGCGAGACUGUCUGGUGUUGGAAAGCUUUAAAAUCAUGGACUACAGCCUGCUGCUUGGUGUCCAUAACAUAGACCAGCAAGAACGGGAGCGGCAGUCCGAGGGAGCGCACAGCACGUCGGAUGAGAAGCGUCCCGUGGGGCAAAAGGCACUUUACUCCACAGCCAUGGAGUCCAUCCAGGGUGGGGCUGCCCGGGGAGAGUCCAUAGACACAGAUGACACGAUGGGAGGAAUCCCAGCAGUGAAUGGCAAAGGAGAGCGUCUCCUGCUGCACGUAGGAAUUAUAGAUAUCCUUCAGUCGUACAGGUUCAUCAAGAAGCUGGAACAUACCUGGAAGGCCCUUGUCCAUGACGGGGACACGGUGUCAGUACACAGACCCAGCUUCUAUGCAGAGAGAUUCUUCAAAUUCAUGACCAACACAGUGUUCCGAAAGAAUUCCUCUCUGAAGUCAUCUCCCUCAAAGAAAGGGCGUAGUGCCUUGCUGGCUGUCAAGACACCUGGUCCAACAGCUGCGUUCUCAGCUAGCCAGCUCCCCUCUGAGAAGGACGAAACGCAGUAUGACCUCCGUGCAGCCAGGAGCUAUCCCACCCUUGAUGACGAAGCAGGCAGACCAGACCUGCUCCCCUGCACACCUCCUUCCUUUGAAGAAGCUACCACGGCCUCCAUAGCCACAACACUCUCUUCAACAUCUCUCUCUGUUCCUGAGCGAUCCCCUUCGGAGACAUCAGAGCAGCCUCGGUACAGGAGACGCACACACUCCUCAGGGCAGGAUGGCAGGUCGCAUGAGGAGGUGCGAGUUGAAGAGGAGCUUCAGCAGAUCAGUGUAGAGCUGGAGCCCAAAUGUGAUGUUGAGAUCGUAGCUCCCGAAGAACACGACAAGGAAGAAGCAGCUUCUUCAGCCUGUGCCAUUGUAAUGUCCACAGCUACAAUAGAGGUGGAGACGGCCAGCCAGGCCUCCGAACCAGCCAGCCAGGCCUCGGAUGAAGAUGAUGUGCCAGUCACAGACAUAUACUUUGCAGAUGCAUUAGGUGGUGCAGUGGAAGUCUAGUACUGAGACAGGGAGUAAGUGAGGUGGUUGCUGUUGGCAGCGGAGUGCCGUGGAGCCUGGGGUUGUGUUCCUCAGCCAGCUUCCACAACGUCUGAGCAGCUUCUGCAGAACGGAGAGGAGUUUUUAGGAACGUGUGCCUGCUCUGUGGAUUCCCAGAGUGGAGCUGAGGCUCUGACCCAUGGCAGCUCUCCCCCACGUCGUGGCACUGGAACCUUUCCAUUAAAAGGGCUGCUCAGCUCCAACUUGCAUGGCGAUGGAGAUGAGCCGUGCCCUGUGAGCUCCUUCAGGCUACCCUGAAAAUGGCAACAUUUGGCUCUCCCUCUGCUCAUGUGGCUCUGCUGCAGAACUGCUCACUCGUUGCCGAGUCAUUUGGAGGCUCAUGGGAGCUGCAGAAGGAAUCAAUUUUACAAGCUUGUCUGUUUGGGUUUUUGUGCAUGCUGUUCCAAAUGCAAACAGCUCCCUCUAACACUGGCUGCUCUUUCUUUGCCUGUGGAUGGCAGCUGUGUGCAGGCUGCCUGCAGAUACUGCCUGUUCCACUGGCAAAUGUCUCCUAGCAAGGGGCAGCUCCCUGUCCACGGACACGUGGACUCCCCCCGACUUCCACGGGGCUCUUCUCUAUCCAGAAGAAACCAUUUGUGUGCAGUGUGUGCUCGCAGAGAGCCCGACUGACUCAUCAGCAUCUCAUACUUCAUCUGAGUCCUUGAGUUUUGCAUUAAAUGUGUGUUGUGUGCUGUGGAGUGUUUGUCACUGCUGGGACGAAGGGAAAAGCUGAUCUGGGUUCCCCACUGGCAGUGGUGGCUUUUUUGUUUGUUUGUUUUUAUUGGAAAACCACUGGAGCUGGAGCUCAACCGAGGCUGCACCCAAAUGCAGCAAGGCUUGGACCCCAGCUGCCCCUGCAGGCACGCUCCAGGAGCGAUGAUGGGUGGAAGGAUGCUACGUGCAGAGGAUGAUUUGUCAGGUCCUGGGGGCCCAUGGUCUGCUUUUUGAAAUCAGCUUCUGAAAGAAGAGCACUUUAUCCCCCUGCCUCUCUGAGGGGGAUAAAGGUGCAGAGAUUUGCCAGGCACGGGCACCGCUACUCCCACGCAUGGCUUUCCUGCCCGCUGAUCCGUUCAGGCCUGGAGUUGUCCAACCCUUUGGUUUUUGGUUUUUUUUUUUGCUUUCUCUUCCAUCCUGUCUUUCACAUCAUCUUUCCGUUGUUUUUCUGUUUGUUUUUUUUUCCCCCUCUGUUUCCUUUCUCGCCUCACUUACCCCCCCGGGGCCAUGCAGUUCACAGAUGGGAGGUACUGGAUUUACUCUCCCCGCCAGCGCAGACUCCGAACCACCUCGCUUUCCUCCAGGACUCCGACAGACGAGAGGAGUUGGGUUUACUCCCCGCUCCACUAUAGCGCUCAGCUCCACUCUGUCUCCGAUGAGGAGAGCGAUACAUAAUCUCUAUGCAGACACAGAAGCCCCAGAGAGCAGCGAUUCCCUCUGCAGGUCGAUGUGUUCCCUUUUCGUUGAUGCAGCCGUUCCAGUGGGAUGGGGGAGAGCUUGCCGACACCAGUUGUGCUGCACCGCGGGAUCCCGGGCACUGCGUUUGAGAACGGAGCAAACCUAUAACCGUCUGUUUCCACUCCUCCCAGACGUGGGCAGCAAAGAAACCACCCACCCACCCACAGCUCCCGAGGGGGACAUCCAGCUGGGUGCAGACAAUCCUGGGUAGUAACACCGUGUUUUCCAGCCGUGCACUACCGUAGCUACCUAUCCAUGUGUAAUACUGUGAACCUUUUUAAUUUUUUAAUCAUGUAUUUAUUUCUUUUAUCUUUGCACACAGACAGCACAAACGUGCUUUUUUAAACGUUUAGUUUACUGCACUUUUUUUUUUUUUUUUUUUCUUUUCUUAUCUUUUUUGGUCGGUUGGGUUUUGUUUGUUGGUUCGGUUGGGUUUUGUUUUCUUUUUUUUUAUUAUUAUUAUUAUUAUUGUCAUAUAUUUGUGCAUCAGAAAGGAGUGUGAGACCUCACUGGAGCAUUGGUAGGAGCACAUUGCUGGGGAGGGCAGGGAGCAGAGUGGCUUCGCUGGAGGAGGCAGCAGCGUGGUCUGACCUGCUGAUGGAGUCGGGAGGUUUAAGGCCAGGCAGACUGCUGCAGUUCUGCUGGGUGACCUAAAGCAAGUCACCCAACCACUCUGUGCCUCGCUUCCCCCGUGCUAUGGGUGUGCAGUUCCCACUUCAGUUCAAGCACUUACACCCUGGGAUGAAAGGUGCUAUGUACAUGCAAUGUAUUAAAGGCCGUUGAGUAGAAUCGCUCCUAUGUUACAGUAGUAGCCAUGCCAGUUCACUUGGAUCCAAAAAUCGUUAGUGACUUCUCUCGAUCCCCAACCAAGUGGGGGAAGCAAGCGAUUCCUGGCAGUGCCAACGUGUCCACCUCGGCUCUCCGGACAUCGCAAUGGCUUCUGCCUUCACCUGCUGCUGUCACCUGCUGCUGUCACCUGCUGCUGUCACCAUCCCUCCGUGCUCAGAGCCCGUGUUUCCUUGUGGUGGCCGCUGCCCGCUGGUUGGCAUGGACAGAUGAGGACUGGGCACCUGCAGGGACUGCCUCGUGGAGGGACAUUCCCUGCCCUGCCCGGACCCCGCAUCCCACUGGAGCUGCUUGGGACCUCACGUGCUCACGGGUGUAUGUGACCGAAGCUCCGUAUCUGACUGAGUUCUGGGGGUCACCAAAUGUUGGGUUCACGCAUCUCCUUCAUGCCUCGGUGCAGCCGGGGAGGCGCAGGCAUGGCUGUGUGCUGGAGGCAGGAAUGUGGGCAGCACUGCGUGCACAGCCUGUGGGACGAGAAGCUGGGUGACUCGGUGCUGUUGGGAAUGGCUGCUCGGGAUGUCUGAGACGUGGAUAGUUUGCUCUUCGUGGGCUGCAGGCUUUUAGCCAAGAGGUGGUGUCAUUUGGCAGUGCUCGGGUUAGGCUCGUCCUUCUGUCGGCCCGACGCCGUUAGCAUCCUCUGAACUCCAGCAAUUUCAUCCUCCUCUCAGAGAGAAGUGAAGCCGUUUAGGCGAGAGGGAGCCAAGCCUUGUGUGCUUUGCAAGCCUCACUUGAGAGAGGGUCAAAAUCUCUUUGUUCUCAUUCCAAUCUUCAGCUGUCCUUGGGAUUUGUUGUAGAGGACUGCGGGGGGAGAACCCUCCUCCUGGGGCUCAGCCCCCUCCCAUCUGCCCCCACAGCGGCGCUCAGGCCUGGUUCACUGAGGUCCCACGAGGGAAGGGGUUGGUGGGAAGCUCUUCUCUCCGCGCCGCAAUGACCUGGGAAAGGAUCUGUGUGAAUGAUGGGACCCAAACUUCCACCCCAGCCCUGCGGAUGCUGAAGGCUGUGCAGUGUGCUGCUCUCAGUGUGCAGGCUGGGGGUCCUUCCAGCUGCUGCCCUUAGAUGUGUCCAUGUAGUUACCAAAUAAUCUAUCAGAAGUCCUUUCAAGGCUCUCCCCUUUCCAUCGCUGUGUGACAGCUCGUGGCAUCCCUGCUGGGGAACAAACAGCUCCUGAGCCCCCUGUCUCCUUGUGCCAGCCCUGGGGGGGCUCGGGGGCAGAGGGGAGAUGGGAGCAGUGCAAUACCUACAGACUGACGUGCCUCUGGGCUGAGAGCAGGAGGCUCCAGAACGCCCCAAAUCCAGCUCAGCCGAACCCCACCUGCCUUGGCAUCUGUUGGGGGGAGGGGGGCAGGCAGGGCUUCCCAAGCUGCCGCUUACAGAUGGUGUAAGCAUCACCAGGAGCUGAGGUGGAGGCUCUGCUCCUUCCCCGAGCAGCCCGGUGAGCGGACUGUGCCGGCUGCAGUCAGCCCGGAUCUCACAGCGCGUUCAUUCCGGGCGCCGUCCUCCUUCGGGGGCUUUGUGAGACAGCCGUGCUGCGUGCGAUCAGCCGGGGCGGGGGGCGAUGUGCCGCACGGGGGGCUGGAGGAGCCUUCCCGGGGGGAGUCCCCAUCCCACCCACACAGCCCUGUGUCAGUGCUGGGGAGCGGCGUGUAACGAAUGUAUGCGGAUGGGAUGGGAUGGGACGGGACGCAGCCGGGGCUGUUAUCACAGCUCUUCUUUGGGGGGUGACGACGCCGUGGGCGUGUUUUUGGUUUUGUUUUUUUUUUUGUUUAUUUCAUUUCCUCGUUUGUUGUUUGGGGUUGCUCGUUGCUGUUGUUGCUGCUGUUGUUCCCCUCUUUGGGGAAAACCGUUUUGUUUUUGUUUUGUUUUCUUUUCUUUUGUUUUUUUUUUUUCUCUUUUCUUUUUCCUUUUUUCCUUCCGGAGAUCUGUACGUCGGCGCGAUGUGUCCUCGGCUCUGUGAUAAAGCGUUCUCGAUGUGCUGCACACACA